UACGUAGGGGGCAAGCGUUGUCCGGAAUCAUUGGGCGUAAAGCGCGUGUAGGCGGUUAUCCAAGUCGGGUGUGAAAGCCCCCGGCUCAACUGGGGAGGGUCACUCGAUACUGAUCGACUUGAAGGCAGGAGAGGGAAGCGGAAUUCCCGGUGUAGUGGUGAAAUGCGUAGAUAUCGGGAGGAACACCAGUGGCGAAGGCGGCUUCCUGGCCUGCUCUUGACGCUGAGGCGCGAAAGCUAGGGUAGCAAACGGG
rnacentral:rRNA from 1 species